rnacentral:rRNA from 1 species
GAACAUGAAACCAUAAGCUUACAAGCAGUGGGAGUCCGAUUUAACGGAUGACCGCGUGCCUGUUGAAGAAUGAGCCGGCGACUUAUAGGCACUGGUAGGUUAAAGCGAAAAUGCUGGAGCCAAAGGGAAACCGAGUCUGAAGAGGGCGAAAAUCAGUGUUUAUAGACCCGAACCCUGGUGAUCUAACCAUGUCCAGGAUGAAGCUUGGGUAACACCAAGUGGAGGUCCGAACCGACCGAUGUUGAAAAAUCGGCGGAUGAGGUGUGGUUAGGGGUGAAAUACCAAUCGAACCAGGAGCUAGCUGGUUCUCCCCGGAAUGUGUUGAGGCGCAGCGGUUGUGAUUAAAUCUGGGGGGCAAAGCACUGUUUCGGUGCGGGCUGGGAGACCGGUACCAAAUCGAGACAAACUCAGAAUACCCAGAGAACACACAGCCAGUGAGACAGUGGGGGAUAAGCUUCAUUGUCAAGAGGGAAACAGCCCAGACCACCAGCUAAGGUCCCCAAAUCAUCACUAAGCGAUAAAGGAGGUGAGAUUGCCUAGACAACUAGGAGGUUUGCCUAGAAGCAGCCACCCUUGAAAGAGUGCGUAAUAGCUCACUAGUCAAGCGAUCUUGCGCCGAAAAUGAACGGGGCUAAGUGAUGUACCGAAGCUGUGGGAUUACUAAAAAUAAUCGGUAGGGGAGCGUUCCGUCGUAGGUAGAAGCAGUAGCGGCGAGCAGCUGUGGACGAAACGGAAGUGAGAAUGUCGGCUUGAGUAGCGCAAAUGUAUGUGAGAAUCAUACACCCCGAAACCCUAAGGGUUCCAGAGCCAGGUUCGUCCACUCUGGGUUAGUCGGGACCUAAGGCGAGGCCGAAGGGCGUAGUCGAUGGACAAAGUGUCAAUAGUCACUUACUGUUCUGUGGGAGCAUAGAUAGGGACGCAUGAAAGAUAGCCAUACCCUGAUUGGUUUGGGAGGAGUUUACGAACUCCGAGUGGUGAAGGAUAGUGCCAAGAAAAGCUAUAUAUGUGAUGAAGAUAGAACACCCGUACCCGAAACCGACACAGGUAGGGAGGUUGAGAAUACCAAGGGGCGCGAGAUAACUCUCUCUAAGGAACUCGGCAAAAUGGCCCCGUAACUUCGGAAGAAGGGGUGCCCACUGUAUAAGUGGGUCGCAGUGAAGAGAUCCAAGCGACUGUUUACCAAAAACACAGGUCUCCGCCAACUCGAAAGAGGACGUAUGGGGGCUGACGCCUGCCCAGUGCCGGAAGGUCAAGGAAGCUGGUCAGCGAAAGUGAAGCUGGCGACCGAAGCCCCGGUGAACGGCGGCCGUAACUAUAACGGUCCUAAGGUAGCGAAAUUCCUUGUCGGGUAAGUUCCGACCCGCACGAAAGGCGUAACGAUUUGGAUGGUGUCUCAGAGAGAGACUCGGCGAAAUAGGAAUGUCUGUGAAGAUACGGACUGCCUGCACCUGGACAGAAAGACCCUAUGAAGCUUUACUGUAGCCUGGAAUUGUGUUCGGGCUUCGCUUGCC